rnacentral:miRNA from 1 species
AUUGCUUCCCAGACGGUGAAGA